UACGUAGGGUGCGAGCGUUGUCCGGAAUUAUUGGGCGUAAAGGGCUCGUAGGCGGUUUGUCACGUCGGGAGUGAAACUCAGGGCUUAACCCUGAGCCUGCUUCCGAUACGGGCAGACUAGAGGUAUGCAGGGGAGAACGGAAGUUCCUGGUGAGCGGUGAAAUGCGCAGAUAUCAGGAGGAACACCGGUGGCGAAGGCGGUUCUCUGGGCAUUACCUGACGCUGAGGAGCGAAAGUGUGGGGAGCGAACAGG
rnacentral:rRNA from 1 species